rnacentral:lncRNA from 1 species
UUGUUCAUGGGAGUUGAGAGAAAAGUCUAAAAUGAGAGAGUCUUAUUGGUGAAAACCCUCGCGGGCACCGUAAGGCGAUGGUAAGCUGAGAGAAAAUGUAAAAUGAGAGAGUCUUAUUGGUGAAAACCCUCCUGGGCACCAUAAGGCAAUGGUGAGAUGAGAGAUGAACAAAUGAGAGAGGCUUGUCGGUGAAAACCCUUUUUGGUCACUACAAGUUGAAUGAGGCUCAUAACUUUACAGAGAAAUUGGAUCAAUAAAAGCCCGGUUUUGAAGUAUGAAGACAUGGCAUGAACUGAAAAUAUGAUUGAUUGGACGGAUUAGGCUGAUCAGUCCCAAAUGCAUGGGAUGAUCAUUGGAGCUGGCUACUUCUCUCAGAUAAGUCCUCUCUUUCUCAUUCUUCUUCACAUAAUCAUCUGUGUUCCAAAUUUUCAUUUGUUCCUUUUGUUAAAAAUCAUUUCAUUUUACUCCUUGAGUCUAUCUUUAUGAGUUUCUUCCUAGUUAGCCCUUGUUAAACAAGCAGGAAAGGAUUUCAAAGCCUACUACCAACUUCUAAAUUGCACAAAGCGAUUCUGGCCAGGCACAUCAAAAUUGACAUGGUUCAGAAUAAACAGAUUUCAAAGCCUACUAUCAGCUUCUAAAUUGCACAAAGCGAUUCUGGCCAAGCACAUCAAAAUUGACAUGAUUCGGAAUAAGCAAUAUGGUGAUAACUGAGGUUCAGGCAAUCGGGUGAAUCUUGAAUUCUGAGGAAAUACAAGGAUUCAACAACUUUCUAAAUAAAAUUAAAAAUACAAUGCAACAAGUAAGUAUGAGGGACUCUUGUCAUGCAGAGAUUUCGUGGUCUAGUGUCAGCCAAAAGAUCAAACAAUU